rnacentral:rRNA from 1 species
AGAGUUUGAUCCUGGCUCAGGACGAACGCUGGCGGCGUGCUUAACACAUGCAAGUCGAACGGUGAAGUCCCUUCGGGGGCGGAUCAGUGGCGAACGGGUGAGUAACACGUGGGCAAUCUGCCCCUCACUGUGGGAUAACUCCGGGAAACCGGGGCUAAUACCGCAUAUGAAGCCUGGCGGCAUCGCCGGGUUUGGAAAGUUUUUCGGUGAGGGAUGAGCCCGCGGCCUAUCAGCUUGUUGGUGAGGUAAUGGCUCACCAAGGCGACGACGGGUAGCCGGCCUGAGAGGGCGACCGGCCACACUGGGACUGAGACACGGCCCAGACUCCUACGGGAGGCAGCAGUGGGGAAUAUUGGGCAAUGGGCGAAAGCCUGACCCAGCGACGCCGCGUGCG